CUUGUUGAAAACAACAGUAAGCGGGCCAUAUCGAGAAACUUUCAGGAGAAUAGGAACCAAACAGUACGAUUAAUCAAGUUGUUGAAUGUUGAAGUACUUUGGUGGCAAGAACCAUGUUUAAGGCGCUUCCUUUGGUCUUAAAAUUCUCUGAUUAUUUACUUCUGGAAGCAUAAAUAAUAAAGAAUUGAAAAGGAAGAGAAGGGAAGAGAAGAGCAUGGAGUGGACUGGUAGUUUUGGCUAACCAUAAACCUCCCCAAAAAACACCAAACCCCUAACAACAUGUCUUACAAAAUUCAAGACUCAGAUUUUAGCAUUUGGGCUCUCAAGAUUCGGAAGACUUACCAGAGAGCUUGAAGCAUGAUUUUGGGACAUACUGAUGGUUUAUCAGAACUUGGGUCAUCAAGAGAUCCCCUAAUUGCCUCUCCUGAAUCAGAGUUGAAUGUUGAGGAUGACGAAGAACAGAUAUUGUAUGCAGCUUCCUUCGAAGAACUUGCGAAAAAUCAUGUUAAAUAUGACACCAUUAUAUGGAUUUCUAUAUCAUUGUUGCUGGUUUUAGCUUGGGGGAUUGGCAUCAUUAUGUUGCUCUGUUUUCCCUUUAGAAGAUACAUGCUUCAAAAGGAUAUUUCCUCGCGCAAACUGUAUGUUACUGCUAAUGAGAUAGUUUACAAGUUUUCAAGGCCUUCGAUACUCUUUUGGCGUGUUGCAACAAUUGAGAAGUGCAUUCCUCUAUCCCUGGUGAUUGAUGUCAUUAUUGAACAAGGUUGCUUACAGUCCCUUUAUGGAAUCCAUACAUUUAGAGUUGAAAGCAUUGUGCAUGGAAAAGCCGCACCUGUAGAUGAACUCCAGGUUCAAGGUGUUUCCGACCCUGGAGUUUUGAGGAAGGUGAUAAUAACAGAAGCUUCAAAGAAUGUACAGGAUUUUGGGAAAGGUUGGAAUCCUACUCUUGCUAUUGAAGAGGAAAGCCUGUCCAGAGUAGGAUCAUUGAACGAGGGACCAUCUGUCUUUAAAUCACCAUCCAAAAGCUGGAAGAUGACAGGUUCACCACGCUAUACUUCAUCAGAGCAUAGAGGUUCACCACGCUAUGCUUCAUCAGAGCAUAGGGGUUCACCACGCUACACUUCAAUGGAGCAUAAAAGUUUAAUACAAGGGGAAAUGCUGCUAAGUAAACUUGGAGAAGUCUGUGAAUCAGUAAAGAAAAUGGAGUCUCUUAUUGAGAAGUCCCAGGCUUCCCCAGAAAGCAGAUGAAGUGGAGUAAGGCUCUUUUGGACUGGAUCAUCAAAGCACAAGCGUAUUAUACAGAACUGCUUGACUAACCACCCUACCACCAAAGAUAAGGGUGGAAAGCAUUGAUUGCAAACCGUGGACUCCUUCGCGGCUCGUUUUGUUUAAAUUCAGCUCGGAUUUUUUUUUUUUUUCAUAAAUUGUUGACCUCUGGGAAUUGUUCAAUGGAUUUUUAUCGAGACUGAUUAGCGUGAUGAUUAGUAGUCUGAC